CUUUUAAAUGAGAAAUCUAUCAAUUAGUGACGCUAGCUUGAGUGAACACACACACCGGACGCUCGUAUUGGAUGGUUAACGACCGCAGGUGCAAAUAUCUAGGGUUCUGUCGACAACGGAUACAAUUUGCAGGUUUUUCGAAACGGCAUGGAAAAAAGUAGCACACGACCAACGAUAUAACAGCCCCGAUUUCCAACGAGAUACCAGCAGCGCUAUGGAACAACUAAGCACAUGUGAACCGGUUUGUGUCAUAGAAAAUCACAUUGCAGAAAGAAGUAACUUUUCGAGCGUCACUGAAUGUAGAAGUGAACGAGAGACCAUACCGACUAAUGAAUACUAAUACAGUAUGGUAUUUGUGUACUGACCGAUGCCGGCAGAGCGAAGACGCACUGUAUGGGAAUGUCAACAUUGUGGUGGUCAUGGUUGAGCUACAUCACGUACGAUCGAUAAGGUAUCAAAAUUAUAA